rnacentral:rRNA from 1 species
GACGAACGCUGGCGGCGUGCUUAACACAUGCAAGUCGAACGGAAAGGCCCUGCUUUUGUGGGGUGCUCGAGUGGCGAACGGGUGAGUAACACGUGAGUAACCUGCCCUUGACUUUGGGAUAACUUCAGGAAACUGGGGCUAAUACCGGAUAGGAGCUCCUGCUGCAUGGUGGGGGUUGGAAAGUUUCGGCGGUUGGGGAUGGACUCGCGGCUUAUCAGCUUGUUGGUGGGGUAGUGGCUUACCAAGGCUUUGACGGGUAGCCGGCCUGAGAGGGUGACCGGCCACAUUGGGACUGAGACACGGCCCAGACUCCUACGGGAGGCAGCAGUGGGGAAUAUUGCACAAUGGGCGGAAGCCUGAUGCAGCAACGCCGCGUGCGGGAUGACGGCCUUCGGGUUGUAAACCGCUUUCGCCUGUGACGAAGCGUGAGUGACGGUAAUGGGUAAAGAAGCACCGGCUAACUACGUGCCAGCAGCCGCGGUGAUACGUAGGGUGCGAGCGUUGUCCGGAUUUAUUGGGCGUAAAGGGCUCGUAGGUGGUUGAUCGCGUCGGAAGUGUAAUCUUGGGGCUUAACCCUGAGCGUGCUUUCGAUACGGGUUGACUUGAGGAAGGUAGGGGAGAAUGGAAUUCCUGGUGGAGCGGUGGAAUGCGCAGAUGUCAGGAGGAACACCAGUGGCGAAGGCGGUUCUCUGGGCCUUUCCUGACGCUGAGGAGCGAAAGCGUGGGGAGCGAACAGGCUUAGAUACCCUGGUAGUCCACGCUGUAAACGGUGGGUACUAGGUGUGGGGUCCAUUCCACGGGUUCCGUGCCGUAGCUAACGCUUUAAGUACCCCGCCUGGGGAGUACGGCCGCAAGGCUAAAACUCAAAGGAAUUGACGGGGCCCCGCACAAGCGGCGGAGCAUGCGGAUUAAUUCGAUGCAACGCGUAGAACCUUACCUGGGUUUGACAUGGAUCGGGAGCGCUCAGAGAUGGGUGUGCCUCUUUUGGGGUCGGUUCACAGGUGGUGCAUGGCUGUCGUCAGCUCGUGUCGUGAGAUGUUGGGUUAAGUCCCGCAACGAGCGCAACCCUUGUUCACUGUUGCCAGCACGUUAUGGUGGGGACUCAGUGGAGACCGCCGGGGUCAACUCGGAGGAAGGUGGGGAUGACGUCAAGUCAUCAUGCCCCUUAUGUCCAGGGCUUCACGCAUGCUACAAUGGCUGGUACAGAGAGUGGCGAGCCUGUGAGGGUGAGCGAAUCUCGGAAAGCCGGUCUCAGUUCGGAUUGGGGUCUGCAACUCGACCUCAUGAAGUCGGAGUCGCUAGUAAUCGCAGAUCAGCAACGCUGCGGUGAAUACGUUCCCGGGGC